AUGGUUAAGGAUCCUUACCCUUGAUGAUCAAGCUUGGUUCUUCUUCUUCUUUCUUCUUGGAUUAUAAAAAUCUAACUCUUACUUAUCUCUCUAUGAUAUAAGCUCUUAAGAUGUUGGUGAAUUUGAACAAGGCACAAAUGAACUAAUGAUCUCUUAUAUUUAUAGAAAUUCCAAGGUGAGGGUAAUUUGGUAAAGAUGUCAUCCCACCUCCUUAAUCCCAC
rnacentral:lncRNA from 1 species